GCCAGCUCGGUGGCGUAGCUGGUUGUAGCGCGCGAUUACAAGAUUGCCUAUCUUAGCUGUGGGUUCGCAUCCCACCACCGGCA